rnacentral:lncRNA from 10 species
GCAUUGCCUAUCACACGUUAUAAUUUAAUUGAAAGAGCAAUGCACUCAUUAUCCUUUGACUUCCCAAUAGAUGCAGAACAUCCGAUUGGAAGGUGCUUUGUGUUAAUUGCAAGGGAUAGGGGACUUUGACAUUAAGUUCUAAUGAUGCAUUUCCAUGUAGAUAGGGAAAACAAAUUCUAAGGACAUCUUGAUUCUUUUAAAAGUUGACUUAAAAGAAAAAAUGCAAUAGGGAACAAAUUCUAAAAGAAAAAUAACAACUUUGCUACAGUGCAAACUACUAACUCAAAACAUCUGGGACCAGUGAUAAGAAUCCAGCUCCAAGCUGGACACAGUGGCUCAUGCCUAUAAUCCCAGCACUUUGGGAGGCCAAGGCGGGAGGAUUGCUUGAGGCCAGGAGUUUGAGACCAACCUGGACAACAAAAUGAGACCCCAUCUCUACAAAGAAAAGUCCCCAAAAAAGAAUUCAGGUCUACUUAUGGUGUCAUAACAAUUCUUUGGAGAUUUUAGGACGUGAACAUAUAUGUAUUUUUUUAACCCUUUUUAACAUUUUUUCCUUUCCAAUACAUCUCAACCUUUAAACAGUACUACUCAGAAAAAUCUACACACCUCAAUCUAUUCCUUCUUCUCUAUGAAUUGUUAGGCUAGAAUAGCCGCUACCAUUUAGGUGUAUGGUAUCUUCCGUACAUCAGGUUCUUCACCCAUUAGGUUGGUGCAAAAGUAAUUGCGGUUUUUGCCAUUACUUUCAAUGGCAAAAACCGCAAUUACUUUUGCACCAACCAAAUAAUAUUAACUCAUAUAUGGGGGAAUGAAGGCUCACAGAAAUUACCUAACUUGCCAUGUUUCUAUACAAAUAGGAAGUGAUAAAACUGCAAUUCAGAUACAUCUCACCCUGGAUUCUGGGUGAGAGCAGGUACAAUAUACUCAAGACAGGGGCACACCAAUGCCUCCACUUUUGCUAUUGGCUCAAUUGGUCAAAAGCUACCUUAGGAGUAAUUUUAUAAGAUUAGGUUUACUCAAAGUAAAAAAAAAAAAAAAAAAAAAAAAAAGUAUGAAAUUAAUCUCUACUAAUCUGGAACCACUGCGUAAAAAAGUGAAGUCCUAGAAAAUAAAUACAUUUUUAACAGUUUUUUAGAAGAUCAGGUUUACUUUGGAGGGAUUCCAGCACCUUAGUUGUGUUCCAGAACUGUUUGUCUCCAAAUUUCUCCAGGAAGGUCAAGAGAAAAAAAAAUUUAUUCUAAAGCUACUGCAGGGUAGCAUCAAUUUUCUGGGUUCCCUGCAAAAAACCACUUCCAUUCAUUCUGAGUUAAAAGGACCAUAACUAGGGAGAAGCCCUCCUGAUGUGGCCUUUAGGUUCAUACCAGACUAUUAGGGAAACUGGUUCAUGAAAACACUCCCAGCGGUAGGAAUCCGGGUACACCUUGAUGCAGCUGCCUUUGGCUGAUGCAAGAGUCCUGACAGACACUGAUCUGGCCUGUUUCGCUUCCUGGCUCUUCUCAUCCUGUCUUAAUAAUUCAUUUGGUUUUACUUUCACUUACACACAAACACCCACACCACACCAGUGUAUCACUAGGAGUUGUUAUUAGUAUACUUAAUACAAAUGUCAAGAGCACGUAUUCUGAGCUCAUCCAAAAAUGGAAAUGUCUUUUUCUGUGAAGAAAAUAUGGCUAAUUCCACAAAUUUUUCUUUUUCUCCUAAAAGUAACAAUUAGAUUGUUUAGAUGCUGUAUACUCUGUAACAUACAAAACCAGACCUUUAAAUCUCAUGUCAAAAGCAGAAAUCAAACACACAAAAAUCAGUGAAUUUAUUAGCAGGAUGGCAUAGUUUGCAAAUUACCUGCUUUCCAUUUUUCUUCUCUACAUCUAGUUACCGUAAAAACAGGCAAUGCGGCAUGGUAGAAGGAUUCUGAACUUGACCAUCAGGAGCCCUGGAGUCUAGGUCUGGCUCUCCCACUAAACUGUCAUUGUGCUACCAUGGGCGAGGGCCUUAACUUCUCUGGCCUUAGUUUCUUGAUAUGGGAAACAGGAGGAAAGAUGAACAACCAGCUUCUAAGAUGCCUUGCAGACUAAUCCCCUCGUUGGAGACUAGUGAUCCCACCUUUGACAAUGCUUCCCUACUUUAACCUUUCACUUGAACUGUGAACUUUCAUUAUCAUUGCCCAACACCUCCAUUAGAGAAAACAAUCACUUGGUUACAAGACUGACCAAACAUCUGCUCUAAUCUUGCAAAAAAAGAACUGAAGAAGCAGGAGAAAUGGAGCACUACCACCUUUUGUGCGAAAUGAAACUUGUGGUUAUUUGAUGCUGCUGACAAAGGACAUUAUUACACUAUUUGGAAUUACAAAUUAGGCUAGAGGUAGUGUUAGAUAUUAAGCAGGUUCUAUUUCAUGGUAAUUAACAAGGAUAGAAAACGACAUGCUAAAUCACAUCAGAAAUGUCUUUUGGCUGUUUUUCUUAGGUACGCCAGGAAGAACUUGAGUCACUUUUAUUGCUUUUCUUAUUCCUGUGCUCCUGAAGGGAGAGGGGAACAGGCAGAAGAAUAUUAGUCAUCUGCAAUUAAUUACUCACUGAAUUUUCUAAGCCAUGAUCAUCUUUCCUUUUGAGCUUUCAUCUAAGUAUCUUUAAGAACUUCUGAGUAUUAAUUAUGACAACACUGUCUUGAAAUAAUUUUUGGCUUUGAUUAAAAAUUAUGUGUCCUACUUUUAGUUACUCUCUUCAGGUGUGGAGCCUAAGGAAUCCCAGAAGGUUAGAGUUUGGAAAGAUGUUGAAGUACAUCCGGACCGAUCCCCCUCACAUUUUACAGUUUUUGAGACUAGAGAGGUUAAGAGACUUGCCCGAUUUCACCCAGCUAAUCAAGAGACAGAUUUAGCCUAGAAUGAACCACAUCCUGUUCUCCAAGGCCUCAUUUGAGCUUGUGCCAAAAUAACAUAUUUCAUAAUAGUCUUGUAACCACUCACCUCCUA